rnacentral:rRNA from 1 species
AGAGUUUGAUCAUGGCUCAGGACGAACGCUGACGGUGUGCUUUAGACAUGCAAGUCGAACGAGAAAGCCCUUCGGGGUGAGUACAGUGGCGAACGGGUGAGUAACACGUGGGCAAUCUGCCCCUCGCAGGGGGAUAACCGGGGGAAACCCCGGCUAAUACCCCGUACGCUUGCGGAGCGCAUGGUUCCGUAAGGAAAGGUAGCUUCGGCCAUCCGGCGAGGGAUGAGCCCGCGGUACAUUAGCUAGUUGGUGGGGUAACGGCCCACCAAGGCGACGAUGUAUAGCUGGUCUGAGAGGAUGAUCAGCCACACUGGGACUGAGACACGGCCCAGACUCCUACGGGAGGCAGCAGUCGGGAAUCUUGCGCAAUGGGCGAAAGCCUGACGCAGCAACACCGUGUGAGCGAUGAAGGCCUUCGGGUCGUAAAGCUCUGUUGUUGGGGACGAAGGGUUAGGGGUUAAUAGCCCCGAGCCUGACGGUACCCUUCGAGGAAGCCCCGGCUAACUACGUGCCAGCAGCCGCGGUAAUACGUAGGGGGCGAGCGUUGUCCGGAAUUAUUGGGCGUAAAGAGCGUGUAGGCGGUUCGGUAAGUCUACCGUGAAAACCCAGGGCUCAACCCUGGGCGUGCGGUGAUACUGCCGGGCUAGAGGGAGAGGCGAGUGGAAUUCCCGGUGUAGCGGUGAAAUGCGCAGAUAUCGGGAGGAACACCAGUAGCGAAGNNGGCUCGCUGGGCCAUACCUGACGCUGAGACGCGAAAGCGUGGGGAGCAAACAGGAUUAGAUACCCUAGUAGUCC